rnacentral:rRNA from 1 species
CUUGCUUCUCUUGAGAGCGGCGGACGGGUGAGUAAUGCCUAGGAAUCUGCCUGGUAGUGGGGGAUAACGUCCGGAAACGGACGCUAAUACCGCAUACGUCCUACGGGAGAAAGCAGGGGACCUUCGGGCCUUGCGCUAUCAGAUGAGCCUAGGUCGGAUUAGCUAGUUGGUGGGGUAAUGGCUCACCAAGGCGACGAUCCGUAACUGGUCUGAGAGGAUGAUCAGUCACACUGGAACUGAGACACGGUCCAGACUCCUACGGGAGGCAGCAGUGGGGAAUAUUGGACAAUGGGCGAAAGCCUGAUCCAGCCAUGCCGCGUGUGUGAAGAAGGUCUUCGGAUUGUAAAGCACUUUAAGUUGGGAGGAAGGGCAGUAAAUUAAUACUUUGCUGUUUUGACGUUACCGACAGAAUAAGCACCGGCUAACUCUGUGCCAGCAGCCGCGGUAAUACAGAGGGUGCAAGCGUUAAUCGGAAUUACUGGGCGUAAAGCGCGCGUAGGUGGUUCGUUAAGUUGGAUGUGAAAUCCCCGGGCUCAACCUGGGAACUGCAUUCAAAACUGACGAGCUAGAGUAUGGUAGAGGGGUGGUGGAAUUUCCUGUGUAGCGGUGAAAUGCGUAGAUAUAGGAAGGAACACCAGUGGCGAAGGCGACCACCUGGACUGAUACUGACACUGAGGUGCGA